rnacentral:rRNA from 1 species
ACAAUGAAGAGUUUGAUCCUGGCUCAGGAUGAACGCUAGCGGCAGGCUUAACACAUGCAAGUCGAGGGGUAACAGGUUAGUAGCAAUACUGAUGCUGACGACCGGCGCACGGGUGCGUAACGCGUAUGCAACCUACCUUAUACAGGGGGAUAACCUUUCGAAAGGGAGACUAACACCGCAUAACAUUAUUUUCAGGCAUCUGGGGAUAAUUAAAUGAGCGAUCAGGUAUAAGAUGGGCAUGCGUAGCAUUAGUUAGAUGGCGAGGUAACGGCUCACCAUGGCGAUGAUGCUUAGGGGUUCUGAGAGGAAGGUCCCCCACACCGGUACUGAGAUACGGACCGGACUCCUACGGGAGGCAGCAGUGAGGAAUAUUGGUCAAUGGUCGGAAGACUGAACCAGCCAUGCCGCGUGCAGGAAGGAGGUCCUAUGGAUUGUAAACUGCUUUUUUCGGGGAAUAAUAAGACUUUUGCGAAGGUUGAUGCAGGUACCCGAAGAAUAAGGAUCGGCUAACUCCGUGCCAGCAGCCGCGGUAAUACGGAGGAUUCGAGCGUUAUCCGGAUUUAUUGGGUUUAAAGGGUGCGUAGGCGGUUAGAUAAGUUUGAGGUUAAAUGCUUCUGCUCAACAGGAGUUUGCCUUGAAAACUGUCUGACUAGGAUGUAAACGGCGCAGGCGGAAUGAAUCAUGUAGCGGUGACAUGCAUAGAUAUGAUUCAGAACACCGAUCGCGAAGGCAGCUUGCGAGGAUACGAUUGACGCUGAAGCACGAAAGCGUGGGUAUCGAACAGGAUUAGAUACCCUGGUAGUCCACGCUGUAAACGAUGAUAACCAGAUGUUGGCGAUAGAAUGUCAGUGUCGGAACGAAAGAGCUAAGUUAUCCACCUGGGGAGUACGAUCGCAAGGUUGAAACUCAAAGGAAUUGACGGGGGCCCGCACAAGCGGAGGAGCAUGUGGUUUAAUUCGAUGAUACGCGAGGAACCUUACCCGAACUUGAACGUAACCUGAAUACUAUAAGAGAUUAGAGUAGUUAGCAAUAACGGGUUACGAGGUGCUGCAUGGUUGUCGUCAGCUCGUGCCGUGAGGUGUCAGGUUAAGUCCUAUAACGAGCGCAACCCCUGCACAUAGUUACCAGCACGUUGAGGUGGGGACUCUAUGUGGACUGCCGGCGCAAGCUGAGAGGAAGGUGGGGAUGACGUCAAAUCAGCACGGCCCUUACGUUCGGGGCGACACACGUGCUACAAUGGCAGAUACAGAGGGCAGCUAUGCAGAGAUGCAAUGCGAAUCUCGAAAGUCUGUCUCAGUUCGGAUCGGAGUCUGCAACCCGACUUCGUGAAGAUGGAUUCGCUAGUAAUCGCAGAUCAGCCAUGCUGCGGUGAAUACGUUCCCGGGCCUUGUACACACCGCCCGUCAAGCCAUGGGAGUCAGCGGUGCUUGAAGACCAUAACCGGAAGGAGUGGUUAAGGGCAAAGCUGGUGACUGGGGCUAAGUCGUAACAAGGUAGCCGUACCGGAAGGUGUGGCUGGAAUACCUCCUUU